UCUCAGUACAAGCCAAAUUAAGGUGAAACCGCGAAAGGCUCAUUAAAUCAGUUAUGGUUCCUUAGAUCGUACCCACAUUUACUUGGAUAACUGUGGUAAUUCUAGAGCUAAUACAUGCAAAUAGAGCUCCGACCGGAGACGGAAGGAGCGCUUUUAUUAGAUCAAAACCAAUCGGUGUCGAGCUCGCUCGUCAUCGUAAUACUUGGUGACUCUGAAUAACUUUUCGCUGAUCGCACGGUCUCGCACCGGCGACGCAUCUUUCAAAUGUCUGCCUUAUCAACUGUCGAUGGUAGGUUCUGCGCCUACCAUGGUUGUAACGGGUAACGGGGAAUCAGGGUUCGAUUCCGGAGAGGGAGCCUGAGAAACGGCUACCACAUCCAAGGAAGGCAGCAGGCGCGCAAAUUACCCACUCCCGGCACGGGGAGGUAGUGACGAAAAAUAACGAUACGGGACUCAUCCGAGGCCCCGUAAUCGGAAUGAGUACACUCUAAACCCUUUAACAAAAAUCAAUUGGAGGGCAAGUCUGGUGCCAGCAGCCGCGGUAAUUCCAGCUCCAAUAGCGUAUAUUAAAGUUGUUGCGGUUAAAAAGCUCGUAGUCGAAUCUGUGUCCCGCGCCGCCGGUUCAUCGUACGCGGUGUCAACUG
rnacentral:rRNA from 1 species